ACUCGAGGACAUAUCAGAGGCUCAGUGGACAUUUUUAAACGACAGCUAAAGACACAUCUGUUUAAAUUAGCUUGUUAUUAACAACCCCCCACUUUAAAUGUUCUUUUAGUCUU